GUAAGUUCACUCAUCUCUAGUGUACAGCGUAAAAAACAAAACCUUUCAAAAUGUGCAAAAUUGCAGUUUUUGUUUCAAUUUCUUCACACAAAUAAUAAUCUUUUUAGGCUUGCUGUACAUUUUAUGGUAAAUAAGUGAUGGGUCCAAAAACAAGCCCUCAUAUGGGUCUGUGGAUGGAAAUAUAAAAGAGUUAUUGAUUUUAGAAGGCGAGGAGGAAAAAACGCAAAAAUAAAAUUGGCCUGGUCCUUAAGGGGUCAAUCAUAGAGCUGCCUUAAUUUUUACUGUGUGUUUUGUGGCAGUUUACCGUUUCUUGUGUUGGUAUAAUUCACUGUUGCUUGUUGAGCUAGGUACUAUUGCUAUGACAACUGUUAUAUUUCAGCAGCCAUUUUAACUGCCAUCCUAAAGACAGAUUGAAGACCAGUCCAGUGCCAGUCCUGAGUCCCCCCCGCCAUUUGUAUGGAGACAAUCCUGCUUCUCUCUCUGCUUCCUGUUUCUGUAAUUUAAGGUGAACAUAGAUGGCGCACAGGUUUUGGGCAGUGUUGGCACAGAGAAAUGAUGCAAGUAUCGAUGAAAUUUUACCACUAACAUAAAGUAGAAUAUGUCACGAAAAAACAAUCUCGGAAUCAGAAUGAAAGGCAAAAGGGAAGAAAAUUCAUUUAGUAGAGGAAGAGGAAAUAAGAAGAAAGAUGAGCUGAGACCAGAACAGUGAAAAUGAUUUUCAGGAGCCACCAAGUACAGAUGAGAUACCAAGAAAGAGCAAGUUAUUGGCGUUCCUGGAGAAUAUCUGGGCCCGGAUGACCUGUAAGAGUAUGACAGUAAAGAAAAGAGCCUACCCACACCCGGCAUCUGAUGGAUGGCACAGGUAGGACAUCAUAAUUUUAGGGCCCAGUCACCCUGCAUUGCACUUCAUCCAUGCUACCAUUGUUAUCACCUUUCAUUUAAUUUUUCGGGAAUAUGCAGUGACCAGAAAUCAUCAGAUCUGGCACUGGGUAUUUAUUUUUGUUUAUGGAGUUCGAUGUGCAGCAUAAAUAAUGUUAUUUUUAAAUACCAUGGGCUUUUUUUGCAUAAAGGGAUUCCAAUUCUGGAACUUUUUUUUAGCCUUUUUGCUUUUUAAGUUUUUAAUCCUCCUGAACUGCACACGGCUGUCAACUGUUAAAAUCAGCUAACAACCCAGGAGUAUAGAGAAGGCUUAGCUCCUAUGCAUAUGCCCCUGUGAGCAUUGGGCAUACUAUAUAUGGAGAGAGAGAGAGAGAGACAUGUAUUGAACAUUUAUAGGAUAUAUCACCAGUGCCCACACCCUUCUGAAGACCCUAGCUGCUGUAAGCAAACACUGGAUUGAACCAUUGGCUGGUGGGUAAAUAAAAGAACAUUAAACAGUGGGAAAAUGCAUGAAUACAAAAUGAAAAGAGAGUAAGAAAAUAAAAUACUUUCACAAUUUUCAUGUUUUAAUCAUACAGCUGCCUACCUUAUCAUUUUUUUACUGUGUGCUUUGGGACAGUUUAUCUGUUCUUGUAGUGGUACGGCCCGCUGUUGUUUACUGAGCUUGGUGUGGUUGCUAUGACAACCUCUAUACUGCAGCAGCCAUUUUAACUGCCAUCCUAGAGACAGCUUGAAGACUAGUCCAGUGCCAGUUCUUUGUGUCCCCCCAGUUUUAUGGAGACAACACUGCUUCUUUCUGCUCCCUGUUUUUGUAAUGUAAGGUCAACACAGAUGGCACACAGGUUAGGCAGUGUUGGCACAGAGAAAUGAUGCAAGUAUCGAUGAAAUUUUACCACUAACAUAAAGUAGAAUAUGUCACGAAAAAACAAUCUCGGAAUCAGAAUGAAAGGAAAAAGGGAAGAAAAUUCAUUUAGUAGAGGAAGAGGAAAUAAGAAGAAAGAUGAGCUGAGACCAGAACAGUGAAAAUGAUUUUCAGGAGCCACCAAGUACAGAUGAGAUACCAAGAAAGAGCAAGUUAUUGGCGUUCCUGGAGAAUAUCUGGGCCCGGAUGACCUGUAAGAGUAUGACAGUAAAGAAAAGAGCCUACCCACACCCGGCAUCUGAUGGAUGGCACAGGUAGGACAUCAUAAUUUUAGGGCCCAGUCACCCUGCAUUGCACUUCAUCCAUGCUACCAUUGUUAUCACCUUUCAUUUAAUUUUUCGGGAAUAUGCAGUGACCAGAAAUCAUCAGAUCUGGCACUGGGUAUUUAUUUUUGUUUAUGGAGUUCGAUGUGCAGCAUAAAUAAUGUUAUUUUUAAAUACCAUGGGCUUUUUUUGCAUAAAGGGAUUCCAAUUCUGGAACUUUUUUUUAGCCUUUUUGCUUUUUAAGUUUUUAAUCCUCCUGAACUGCACACGGCUGUCAACUGUUAAAAUCAGCUAACAACCCAGGAGUAUAGAGAAGGCUUAGCUCCUAUGCAUAUGCCCCUGUGAGCAUUGGGCAUACUAUAUAUGGAGAGAGAGAGAGAGAGACAUGUAUUGAACAUUUAUAGGAUAUAUCACCAGUGCCCACACCCUUCUGAAGACCCUAGCUGCUGUAAGCAAACACUGGAUUGAACCAUUGGCUGGUGGGUAAAUAAAAGAACAUUAAACAGUGGGAAAAUGCAUGAAUACAAAAUGAAAAGAGAGUAAGAAAAUAAAAUACUUUCACAAUUUUCAUGUUUUAAUCAUACAGCUGCCUACCUUAUCAUUUUUUUACUGUGUGCUUUGGGACAGUUUAUCUGUUCUUGUAGUGGUACAGUCCGCUGUUGUUUACUGAGCUUGGUGUGGUUGCUAUGACAACCUCUAUACUGCAGCAGCCAUUUUAACUGCCAUCCUAGAGACAGCUUGAAGACUAGUCCAGUGCCAGUUCUUUGUGUCCCCCCAGUUUUAUGGAGACAACACUGCUUCUUUCUGCUCCCUGUUUUUGUAAUGUAAGGUCAACACAGAUGGCACACAGGUUAGGCAGUGUUGGCACAGAGGUGAGCACUGUGUACCAAAUAUUCCAGACCAAGUAUGUGCAGCCAUCUUGCCUAAAUGUCUAUUGAAGUAAAACAGUGAAAGAUACUUCUUCUAGGAAUUAGUAGGGGCCCAGUGGUCAGAAUCCCACCAAUCAGAUAUUUUGGA